AUUGAACGCUGGCGGCAUGCCUUACACAUGCAAGUCGAACGGCAGCACGGGAGCUUGCUCCUGGUGGCGAGUGGCGAACGGGUGAGUAAUACAUCGGAACGUACCCUGAAAGUGGGGGAUAACGUAGCGAAAGUUACGCUAAUACCGCAUAUUCUGUGAGCAGGAAAGAGGGGGGAUCGCAAGACCUCUUGCUUUAGGAGCGGCCGAUGUCGGAUUAGCUAGUUGGUGAGGUAAAGGCUCACCAAGGCGACGAUCCGUAGCGGGUCUGAGAGGAUGAUCCGCCACACUGGGACUGAGACACGGCCCAGACUCCUACGGGAGGCAGCAGUGGGGAAUUUUGGACAAUGGGCGCAAGCCUGAUCCAGCCAUGCCGCGUGAGUGAAGAAGGCCUUCGGGUUGUAAAG
rnacentral:rRNA from 1 species